rnacentral:ncRNA from 1 species
CCCUUGCAUGAAAGGAGAGAAGGUUGGCACUCCCCUUGACAAGGAUGGAAGAGGCCCUCGGGCCAAACCACACGCGUAUGCAGUUAAGGCAUUGUGCCACCUACUUCGCUUCAUUGU